rnacentral:rRNA from 1 species
CCUACGGGAGGCAGCAGUGGGGAAUAUUGGACAAUGGGCGAAAGCCUGAUCCAGCCAUGCCGCGUGUGUGAAGAAGGCCUUCGGGUUGUAAAGCACUUUAAGUUGGGAGGAAGGGCUGCUGGUUAAUACCCUGCAGUUUUGACGUUACCAACAGAAUAAGCACCGGCUAACUUCGUGCCAGCAGCCGCGGUAAUACGAAGGGUGCAAGCGUUAAUCGGAAUUACUGGGCGUAAAGCGCGCGUAGGUGGUUUGGUAAGUUGGGUGUGAAAGCCCCGGGCUCAACCUGGGAACUGCAUCCAAAACUGCCGGACUAGAGUACGGUAGAGGGUGGUGGAAUUUCCUGUGUAGCGGUGAAAUGCGUAGAUAUAGGAAGGAACACCAGUGGCGAAGGCGACCACCUGGACUGAUACUGACACUGAGGUGCGAAAGCGUGGGGAGCAAACAGGAUUAGAUUUCAUUGUAGUC